rnacentral:rRNA from 1 species
AUUGAACGCUGGCGGCAGGCCUAACACAUGCAAGUCGAGCGGAGCGGCGGACGGGUGAGUAAUGCCUAGUAAUCUGCCUGUUAGUGGGGGAUCACGUCCGGAAACGGGCGCUAAUACCGCAUACUAUCCGAUUAGCCUAGGUCGGGUUAGCUAGUUGGUGGGGUAAAGGCCUACCAAGGCGACGAUCCGUAACUGGUCUGAGAGGAGGAUCAGUCACAAUGGAAAUGAGAGACGGUCCAGAGGUCUACGGGAGGCAGCAGUGGGGAAUAUUGGGCAAGGGGCGCAAGCCUGACCCAGCAACGCCGCGUGAAGGAAGACGGUCUUCGGAUUGUAAACGUCUUUAGACAGGGACGCGGUACCUGAAGAAUAAGCCACGGCUAACUACGUGCCAGCAGCCGCGGUAAUAC